rnacentral:rRNA from 1 species
UACGGAGGGUGCGAGCGUUGUCCGGAAUCAUUGGGCGUAAAGCGCGUGUAGGCGGUUCAGUAAGUCUGCUGUGAAAGUCCAGGGCUCAACCCUGGGAUGCCGGUGGAUACUGCUGGACUAGAGUGCGGAAGAGGCGAGUGGAAUUCCCGGUGUAGCGGUGAAAUGCGCAGAUAUCGGGAGGAACACCAAUUGCGAAGGCAGCUCGCUGGGACGUUACUGACGCUGAGACGCGAAAGCGUGGGGAGCAAACAGG